rnacentral:misc_RNA from 1 species
UAGAGUUACAAACUCCAAACCACUGUGAACAUACCUAUGUUGCUUCGGCGGGUUCCCGGUCGUCCGCGGCCGCCCCGCCGGAGGUAUCAAACUCUGAUUUCUAGCGAAUCUUCUGAGUCUUACAAUAAGCAAUCA